UACGUAGGGCGCAAGCGUUGUCCGGAAUUAUUGGGCGUAAAGAGCUCGUAGGCGGCUUGUCACGUCGGGUGUGAAAGCCCGGGGCUUAACCCCGGGUCUGCAUUCGAUACGGGCUAGCUAGAGUGUGGUAGGGGAGAUCGGAAUUCCUGGUGUAGCGGUGAAAUGCGCAGAUAUCUGGAGGAACACCGGUGGCGAAGGCGGCAUCCUGGACCGGCAUUGACGCUGAGGAGCGAAAGCCAGGGGAGCAAACGGG
rnacentral:rRNA from 1 species